rnacentral:lncRNA from 10 species
ACUUAUUAAUGCAUAUUACCUGUGAAUAAGAAAAAGGUGCUUGCAUUUCAGAAGUUUGUGUGAAUCACGUGUCCUCCUCAUUUCCUACCAGAGUUCAGGUACAGAGGACCAACUAUACUUGUCGGACUCUGAAACUUCAACUUCUCAGCUCCACUUGAACCUCAGGCACAGAGAUGGAAUCUGAAGCGGACCAAAGGGUGGCUUCUUGGAGAUGGUGAGGCGUGGCCACAGGAGGAACAGGAUGCAUGACAGCUGCCUCCCACACAGAUAUACCGCAUCUAAGAAGAUGUCGCCACCCCCAUGAGAAAUAUCUACUGUAUGCUCAUGUUUGAAUGUGUGUAUAUAUAUAGGUUCAAUAUAUACAUAAGUUGCAAAGAACUGAAG